CCUCUACUUAUCUGAAUGCAGAGAGGAUGACAGAGAACAGUGGACACACAGUUUAACAUGAUGGACUAUAGGACAGGACUGCUGCUUUUAACUCUCUGCUGGGCAGGUGUUGAUGGUCAGACUCUGACAGAAUCUGAACCAGUGGUUAAAAGACCUGGAGAAUCCCACACACUGACCUGUACAGCCUCUGGAUUCACAUUCAGCAGCCAGUAUCUAGCCUGGAUCAGACAGUCUCCUGGAAAAGGACUGGAGUGGAUCGCUUAUAUCAGUAGCGGUGGUGGCAGCAGCACUUACUACUCUCAGUCAGUCCAAGGCCGGUUUACCAUCUCCAGAGACAACAGCAGACAGCAGGUGUAUCUGCAGAUGAACAGUCUGAAGACUGAAGACACUGCUGUGUAUUACUGUGCCAGAGACACACAACAACACAAACCAUUUGUAGACCUGAACAAAAACCCCUCAGUACCUGAACACUUGUAACAUGAAGCCACCAGA